CCUUAUUUUAUGACUUGGUGACUGAGGACAUAGAUGAUGAAAGUUUUCCACGAGUAAAUCAUAUCAGUGAUGAUGAUUUGAAAACUUUGAAUAACGCGACUGUUGAGGAUUUGAAGAAGUUAGCACAGAAAGUAAGAUAUUGCACCUUUGAGUUUUAAAUGUCUUGUUUAUUAGUAUUUUAAUUCGGAACCUUUUUGAAGGCCAAGAAAAUGAAUGUUUCGUUGUACACAACUGACUAUGAAGUAGAAAGACCUGAGGACAGGGCUGAUGCAAGACCUGAGGACAGGGCUGAUGCAUUACCAUUGGUAAAUCAUC
rnacentral:lncRNA from 1 species